rnacentral:rRNA from 1 species
GGGCGUUAAGUUGCAGGGUAUAGACCCGAAACCCGGUGAUCUAGCCAUGGGCAGGUUGAAGGUUGGGUAACACUAACUGGAGGACCGAACCGACUAAUGUUGAAAAAUUAGCGGAUGACCUGUGGCUGGGGGUGAAAGGCCAAUCAAACCGGGAGAUAGCUGGUUCUCCCCGAAAGCUAUUUAGGUAGCGCCUCGUGAAUUCAUCUCCGGGGGUAGAGCACUGUUUCGGCUAGGGGGCCAUCCCGGCUUACCAACCCGAUGCAAACUGCGAAUACCGGAGAAUGUUAUCACGGGAGACACACGGCGGGUGCUAACGUCCGUCGUGAAGAGGGAAACAACCCAGACCGCCAGCUAAGGUCCCAAAGUCAUGGUUAAGUGGGAAACGAUGUGGGAAGGCCCAGACAGCCAGGAUGUUGGCUUAGAAGCAGCCAUCAUUUAAAGAAAGCGUAAUAGCUCACUGGUCGAGUCGGCCUGCGCGGAAGAUGUAACGGGGCUAAACCAUGCACCGAAGCUGCGGCAGCGAACGUAUCACCCAAGACAACUUUACGGAGUUGACGAUUGACGGAGCGAAGCGACGUCAAAGCGUUCAUUAAAGUCGAGUUGGCUUAGGGAUACGUUCGUUGGGUAGGGGAGCGUUCUGUAAGCCUGUGAAGGUGUGUCGUGAGGCAUGCUGGAGGUAUCAGAAGUGCGAAUGCUGACAUAAGUAACGAUAAAGCGGGUGAAAAGCCCGCUCGCCGGAAGACCAAGGGUUCCUGUCCAACGUUAAUCGGGGCAGGGUGAGUCGACCCCUAAGGCGAGGCCGAAAGGCGUAGUCGAUGGGAAACGGGUUAAUAUUCCCGUACUUGGUGUUACUGCGAAGGGGGGACGGAGAAGGCUAUGUUGGCCGGGCGACGGUUGUCCCGGUUUAAGCGUGUAGGUGUGUGUUCCAGGUAAAUCCGGUUCACUUUAACACUGAGGCGUGACGACGAGGCACUACGGUGCUGAAGCAACAAAUGCCCUGCUUCCAGGAAAAGCCUCUAAGCAUCAGGUAACAUCAAAUCGUACCCCAAACCGACACAGGUGGUCAGGUAGAGAAUACCAAGGCGCUUGAGAGAACUCGGGUGAAGGAACUAGGCAAAAUGGUGCCGUAACUUCGGGAGAAGGCACGCUGACACGUAGGUGAAGUGAUUUACUCAUGGAGCUGAAGUCAGUCGAAGAUACCAGCUGGCUGCAACUGUUUAUUAAAAACACAGCACUGUGCAAACACGAAAGUGGACGUAUACGGUGUGACGCCUGCCCGGUGCCGGAAGGUUAAUUGAUGGGGUCAGCGCAAGCGAAGCUCCUGAUCGAAGCCCCGGUAAACGGCGGCCGUAACUAUAACGGUCCUAAGGUAGCGAAAUUCCUUGUCGGGUAAGUUCCGACCUGCACGAAUGGCGUAAUGAUGGCCAGGCUGUCUCCACCCGAGACUCAGUGAAAUUGAACUCGCUGUGAAGAUGCAGUGUACCCGCGGCAAGACGGAAAGACCCCGUGAACCUUUACUAUAGCUUGACACUGAACAUUGAGCCUUGAUGUGUAGGAUAGGUGGGAGGCUUUGAAGUGUGGACGCCAGUCUGCAUGGAGCCGACCUUGAAAUACCACCCUUUAAUGUUUGAUGUUCUAACGUGGACCCGUAAUCCGGGUUGCGGACAGUGUCUGGUGGGUAGUUUGACUGGGGCGGUCUCCUCCUAAAGAGUAACGGAGGAGCACGAAGGUUGGCUAAUCCUGGUCGGACAUCAGGAGGUUAGUGCAAUGGCAUAAGCCAGCUUGACUGCGAGCGUGACGGCGCGAGCAGGUGCGAAAGCAGGUCAUAGUGAUCCGGUGGUUCUGAAUGGAAGGGCCAUCGCUCAACGGAUAAAAGGUACUCCGGGGAUAACAGGCUGAUACCGCCCAAGAGUUCAUAUCGACGGCGGUGUUUGGCACCUCGAUGUCGGCUCAUCACAUCCUGGGGCUGAAGUAGGUCCCAAGGGUAUGGCUGUUCGCCAUUUAAAGUGGUACGCGAGCUGGGUUUAGAACGUCGUGAGACAGUUCGGUCCCUAUCUGCCGUGGGCGCUGGAGAACUGAGGGGGGCUGCUCCUAGUACGAGAGGACCGGAGUGGACGCAUCACUGGUGUUCGGGUUGUCAUGCCAAUGGCACUGCCCGGUAGCUAAAUGCGGAAGAGAUAAGUGCUGAAAGCAUCUAAGCACGAAACUUGCCCCGAGAUGAGUUCUCCCUGAGACUU